rnacentral:rRNA from 1 species
UCCAGACUCCUACGGGAGGCAGCAGUGGGGAAUAUUGCACAAUGGGGGAAACCCUGAUGCAGCGACGCCGCGUGAGUGAAGAAGUAAUUCGUUAUGUAAAGCUCUAUCAGCAGGGAAGAAAAUGACGGUACCUGAGUAUGAAGCCCCGGCUAACUACGUGCCAGCAGCCGCGGUAAUACGUAGGGGGCAAGCGUUAUCCGGAUUUACUGGGUGUAAAGGGAGCGUAGACGGCAGUGCAAGUCUGGAGUGAAAGGCGGGGGCGCAACCCCCGGACUGCUCUGGAAACUGUACGGCUGGAGUGCAGGAGAGGUAAGUGGAAUUCCUAGUGUAGCGGUGAAAUGCGUAGAUAUUAGGAGGAAUACUCAUUGCGAAGGCGACCUGCUAGAACAUAACUGACGCUGAUGCGCGAAAGCGUGGGGAGCAAACAGGAUUAGAUACCCCGGUAGUA